rnacentral:rRNA from 1 species
AGGACGAACGCUGGCGGCGUGCUUAACACAUGCAAGUCGAGCGGAAAGGCCCUUCGGGGUACUCGAGCGGCGAACGGGUGAGUAACACGUGGGCAACCUGCCCUUAGCUCUGGGAUAGCUCCGGGAAACCGGAAUUAAUACCGGAUAUGACCUAGGCCGACAUCGGCCGUGGUGGAAAGUUUUUCGGCUAGGGAUGGGCUCGCGGCCUAUCAGCUAGUUGGUGGGGUAAUGGCCUACCAAGGCGACGACGGGUAGCCGGCCUGAGAGGGCGACCGGCCACACUGGGACUGAGACACGGCCCAGACUCCUACGGGAGGCAGCAGUGGGGAAUCUUGCGCAAUGGGCGAAAGCCUGACGCAGCGACGCCGCGUGGGGGAUGAAGGCCUUCGGGUUGUAAACCCCUUUCAGCAGGGACGAAGCGAAAGUGACGGUACCUGCAGAAGAAGCGCCGGCUAACUACGUGCCAGCAGCCGC